GACGUAGGGCGCGAGCGUUGUCCGGAUUUAUUGGGCGUAAAGAGCUCGUAGGCGGUCCGUCACGUCGGGAGUGAAAACUCGGGGGCUCAACCCCCGAGCCUGCUUUCGAUACGGGGCGGACUAGAGGUAGGUAGGGGAGAACGGAAUUCCUGGUGUAGCGGUGGAAUGCGCAGAUAUCAGGAGGAACACCGGUGGCGAAGGCGGCAUCCUGGACCGGUAUUGACGCUGAUGCGCGAAAGCCAGGGGAGCAAACGGG
rnacentral:rRNA from 1 species